rnacentral:rRNA from 1 species
AGAGUGACAGGUGGUGCAUGGUUGUCGUCAGCUCGUGUCGUGAGAUGUUGGGUUAAGUCCCGCAACGAGCGCAACCCUUGAUCUUAGUUGCCAUCAUUUAGUUGGGCACUCUAAGGUGACUGCCGGUGACAAACCGGAGGAAGGUGGGGAUGACGUCAAAUCAUCAUGCCCCUUAUGACCUGGGCUACACACGUGCUACAAUGGACGGUACAAAGAGCUGCAAGACCGCGAGGUGGAGCUAAUCUCAUAAAACCGUUCUCAGUUCGGAUUGUAGGCUGCAACUCGCCUACAUGAAGCUGGAAUCGCUAGUAAUCGCGGAUCAGCAUGCCGCGGUGAAUACGUUCCCGGGCCUUGUACACACCGCCCGUCACACCACGAGAGUUUGUAACACCCGAAGUCGGUGGGGUAACCUUUUUGGAGCCAGCCGCCUAAGGUGGGACAGAUGAUUGGGGUGAAGUCGUAACAAGGUAGCCGUAUCGGAAGGUGCGGCUGGAUCACCUCCUUUCUAUGGA